GACGAACGCUGGCGGCGUGCUUAACACAUGCAAGUCGAACGGAAAGGCCCUGCUUUUGUGGGGUGCUCGAGUGGCGAACGGGUGAGUAACACGUGAGUAACCUGCCCUUGACUUUGGGAUAACUUCAGGAAACUGGGGCUAAUACCGGAUAGGAGCUCCUGCUGCAUGGUGGGGGUUGGAAAGUUUCGGCGGUUGGGGAUGGACUCGCGGCUUAUCAGCUUGUUGGUGGGGUAGUGGCUUACCAAGGCUUUGACGGGUAGCCGGCCUGAGAGGGUGACCGGCCCCACUGGGACUGAGAAUCGGCCCAGACUCCUACUGGGGGCAGCAGUGGGGAAUAUUGCCCAAUGGGCCGAAACCAUAUGGCGGAACCCCGCCUGCCGGAUGACGGCCUUCCGGGUGUUAACCCCCUUCCCCUGAUACCAAGCCUGAGUGGACGUAAUGGGUAAAGAAGCACCGGCUAACUACGUG
rnacentral:rRNA from 1 species